rnacentral:rRNA from 1 species
AGUCGAGCGAGCAAUUUUAACGGAAUACCUUCGGGUAGGAAGAUAAAAGCGCGAGCGGCGGAUGGGUGAGUAACACGUGGGCAACCUGCCCUUUAGCUUGGGAUACCACUUGGAAACAGGUGCUAAUACCAAAUAAGAAGCAAGAGCGCAUGCUCAAGCUAUGAAAGGCGGCUUUCGAGCUGUCACUAAAGGAUGGGCCCGCGGUGCAUUAGCUAGUUGGUAAGGUAACGGCUUACCAAGGCAAUGAUGCAUAGCCGAGUUGAGAGACUGAUCGGCCACAUUGGGACUGAGACACGGCCCAAACUCCUACGGGAGGCAGCAGUAGGGAAUCUUCCACAAUGGACGCAAGUCUGAUGGAGCAACGCCGCGUGAGUGAAGAAGGUUUUCGGAUCGUAAAGCUCUGUUGUUGGUGAAGAAGGAUAAGGAUAGUAACUGAUUCUUAUUUGACGGUAAUCAACCAGAAAGUCACGGCUAACUACGUGCCAGCAGCCGCGGUAAUACGUAGGUGGCAAGCGUUGUCCGGAUUUAUUGGGCGUAAAGCGAACGCAGGCGGGAGAACAAGUCAGCUGUGAAAGCCCUCGGCUUAACCGGGGAAGUGCAGCUGAAACCGUUUUUCUUGAGUGCAGAAGAGGAGAGUGGAACUCCAUGUGUAGCGGUGGAAUGCGUAGAUAUAUGGAAGAACACCAGUGGCGAAGGCGGCUCUCUGGUCUGUAACUGACGCUGAGGUUCGAAAGCAUGGGUAGCGAACAGGAUUAGAUACCCUGGUAGUCCAUGCCGUAAACGAUGAGUGCUAAGUGUUGGGAGGUUUCCGCCUCUCAGUGCUGCAGCUAACGCAUUAAGCACUCCGCCUGGGGAGUACGACCGCAAGGUUAAAACUCAAAGGAAUUGAC